rnacentral:rRNA from 1 species
AGAUUGAACGCUGGCGGCAUGCCUUACACAUGCAAGUCGAACGGCAGCGCGGGGCAACCUGGCGGCGAGUGGCGAACGGGUGAGUAAUAUAUCGGAACGUGCCCUGGAGUGGGGGAUAACGCAGCGAAAGUUGCGCUAAUACCGCAUACGAUCUAAGGAUGAAAGUGGGGGAUUCGCAAGAACCUCAUGCUCCUGGAGCGGCCGAUAUCUGAUUAGCUAGUUGGUGGGUAAGCCUACCAAGGCAUCGAUCAGUAGCUGGUCUGAGAGGACGACCAGCCACACUGGAACUGAGACACGUCAGACUCCUACGGGAGCAGCAGUGGGAAUUUGGACAAGUGGGACGAAAGCCUAGAUCCGAGCAAUGCCGCGUGAGUGAAGACGCGUUCGGUUAGUAAAGUC